AGGAGUUUGGGGAGUAGGGUCAUUUUAAAUGCUGCUAAUCUACCCAGCCAUGAUAAGUAUUUUACCUCCCAUGUUCGGAGAGUGUCUAUGAAUGAUUUGGUGAGUUUGGUGAAGUUAAGUUUGAACAGGUUGGGUAAGUGGGUGUGACGAGACCAAUCUUGCCACAUUGCAUUGGAGAAGCCUGGUUGCUCGCCUGCUGCCUUUGGACUAUGGUCCCCUGUUAAAAGACAUCUUUUUUACCUGCAGAAAAGCUUCAUUUGUGCUUUUCUGCCUGGGGUUUGGUAGUUUUGGUUGAAUGUGUUAUACCCCAGAUAGGAAUCCCAUGGAGCCCAUUCGUAUGAAACUGACUUGUAUGCAGUUCGAGAGUUUGGAGCAUUCACUUGUAUGCAGUUCGAGUGUUUGGACCAUUCCCUUGUAUGCAGUUCGAGUGUUUGGAGCAUUCCCUUGUAUGCCGUUCGGGAGUUUGGAGCAUUCACUUGUAUUCAGUUCGUGAGUUUUGGUGAUUCUACAGUAGCUGUGCCUGUCUCUGAAAGGGGAUUAUCGUCUAAGCGUUUUUUUUCCCUUUUGUGCAAAACGGUCCGUUACAGUGGGGUAUAUGUACCCCUAGGAAUGUGAUGUUGUCUGUCCGCCAGUCGAACGAGAAGGUGUCUCUAAGAUGCCUCAGAAGGUCCUUUCGGAUCCCUAUGCCCAUGGCUUGGGACUUGGCGACAUUUAAUUUGUAGUAUGAACUGAGUCCAUAUGCCUUGGCAAGUAUAUCAUGGGCUGGGUCAGUGUCAAUAAGACAUCAUCCGCAAAUAAGUUUAUUUUGAAUUCCCUGUCCCCUAUAGUUACUCCAUGUAUAGCCUUAUUCGCUCUGAUAAGUUCCGCCAGUGGCUCAAGAGCUGUACAUAAAGCAGGGGAGAGAGCGGGCAGCCUUGUCUCGUUCUGUUUGUUAUGUUAAAGGCUUCUGAUGUGAAACCCGCCGUGAUCACCUGUGCAGAUGGGUUCUUGUAUAGGGCCCCGACCGCUGAGCGGAACAUCUCCGGCAAUCCGAAUUUACAUAGGACCGCUUCUAGAAACCUCCAGCCCAGGUGGUCGAAGGCCUUUUCUGCAUCCAGUGAAAUGACUAGACAUUCCAUAUGUUGUUUGUGUGCGCUGUGUAUAAUGUCUAUGACCUUUCUUGUGUUAUCGCCUCCCUGACGUCCCU